ACUGCUCAGUAACACGUGGCCAAACUACCCUACAGACCGCGAUAACCUCGGGAAACUGAGGCCAAUAGCGGAUAUCACUCUCAGACUGGAGUGUCGAGAGUGAGAAACGUUCCGGCGCUGUAGGAUGUGGCUGCGGCCGAUUAGGUAGAUGGUGGGGUACCGGCCCACCAUGCCGAUAAUCGGUACAGGUUGUAGAGAGCAAGAGCCUGGAGACGGUAUCUGAGACAAGAUACCGGGCCCUACGGGGCGCAGCAGGCGCGAAACCUUUACACUGCACGACAGUGCGAUAGGGGGACUCCGAGUGUGAGGGCAUAUAGCCCUCGCUUUUCUGUACCGUAAGGUGGUACAGGAACAAGGACUGGGCAAGACCGGGGCCAGCCGCCGCGGUAAUACCGGCAGUCCGAGUGAUGGCCGAUAUUAUUGGGCCUAAAGCGUCCGUAGCCGGCCGGACAAGUCCGUUGGGAAAUCGACGCGCUCAACGCGUCGGCGUCCAGCGGAAACUGUCCGGCUUGGGGCCGGAAGACCUGAGGGGUACGUCCGGGGUAGGAGUGAAAUCCUGUAAUCCUGGACGGACCACCAGUGGGGAAACCACGUUGAGAGACCGGACCCGACAGUGAGGGACGAAAGCCAGGGUCUCGAACCGGAUUAGAUACCCGGGUAGUCCUGGCUGUAAACAACGCUCGCUAGGUAUGUCACGCGCCAUGAGCACGUGAUGUGCCGUAGUGAAGACGAUAAGCGAGCCGCCUGGGAAGUACGUCCGCAAGGAUGAAACUUAAAGGAAUUGGCGGGGGAGCACCACAACCGGAGGAGCCUGCGGUUUAAUUGGACUCAACGCCGGAA
rnacentral:rRNA from 1 species